rnacentral:rRNA from 1 species
AUUGAACGCUGGCGGCAGGCCUAACACAUGCAAGUCGAGCGGUAGAGAGAAGCUUGCUUCUCUUGAGAGCGGCGGACGGGUGAGUAAUGCCUAGGAAUCUGCCUGAUAGUGGGGGAUAACGUCCGGAAACGGACGCUAAUACCGCAUACGUCCUACGGGAGAAAGUGGGGGCUCUUCGGACCUCACGCCAUCAGAUGAGCCUAGGUCGGAUUAGCUAGUUGGUGGGGUAAAGGCUCACCAAGGCGACGAUCCGUAACUGGUCUGAGAGGAUGAUCAGUCACACUGGAACUGAGACACGGUCCAGACUCCUACGGGAGGCAGCAGUGGGGAAUAUUGGACAAUGGGCGAAAGCCUGAUCCAGCCAUGCCGCGUGUGUGAAGAAGGUCUUCGGAUUGUAAAGCACUUUAAGUUGGGAGGAAGGGUCGUUACCUACUACGUGGCGAUUUUGACGUUACCGACAGAAUAAGCACCGGCUAACUCUGUGCCAGCCGCCGCGGUAACAC